rnacentral:rRNA from 1 species
AUGGAAGGUGGCCGGCUCAUCCACUCUUUUCCGACCCUUUUCACCUUCUCCACAUCAAAGCUUUGCACUAUCGCCUCCCAGUACUCCAAUGGUCACUGGAUGAUGCAACUACACCCCAAUCUCUCCCACACGACGCUGCAAGAGCUGGAGGCACUCAACGGCCUGCUAAGCAAUAUCUCACUGAAUGCUGAUAGAUCAGACACCAAACGGCCAGUGGCUUUUGACAACAAGAUAUCAACGACAUACUUUUAUAAGCUGCUCACCUUCAGAGGGAUGGACUGCCCAUCGGCUCCCUUCGUCUGGGACAGAAUCAUACCCAAACGACACCGCGUCUUCCUUUGGAUAGCCCUCAGAGACAGGCACAAUGCGAGAGACAACAUGCCGAGGAAGCAAUGGACAAGGGUUGUCAAACACAAUGGAUGUGAUCUAUGCCCAGCAGCUGAGACCAUGCAUCAUAUCCUACUCAGAUGCAAGCUUGCCCAAGUCGUGUGGGCCAAAGCCGACCUUCUGGAACCUGCAACCUCCACCGCAACUGCAAAAGACCUCCUGGCUUCUGUAGUGGCGCGGGAGGCAUAUGGCGCGCUUUGGAACAUCUUCUUCGCAGCAUGCACAGUGGCACUUUGGCAUGCUAGGAAUGCACAAGUCUUCCAUAACAACCUCUGGACGGGCAGGAAGGUUCUUAACGAGAUUGCGGAACUUUUCAUGCUCUGGUGA